rnacentral:rRNA from 1 species
GAUGAACGCUGGCGGCGUCCCUAAUACAUGCAAGUCGAGCGAAGCGGGGACGGGUGAGUAACACAUGGAUAACCUCCUAUAAGACUGGGAUACCUUUGGGAAACCGGAUCUCAACCGGAUAAUUAUAGAUGGAUCCGAGCUGCAUUAGCGAGUUGGUAAGGUAACGGCUGACCAAGGCAACGAUGCAUAGCCGACUUGAGAGGGUGAUCGGCCACAGUGGAACUGAGACACGGUCCAGACUGCGACGGGAGGCAGCAGUAGGGAAUCUGCCGCAAUGGGCGAAAGCCUGACGGAGCAACGCCGCGUGAGUGAUGAAGGUCUUCGGAUCGUAAAACGCUGUUGUUAGGGAAGCGGUACCUAUUCAGAAAGCCACGGCUAACUACGUGCCAGCAGCCGCGGUAAUUC